UGAGGAACAUGACCUUCGGCGGGGGAUAGCCGGCCCAACGGCCGGGUAAUACCGCGUACGACCAUUUGAGGACCUCCUCGAAUGGUGAAAGCAGCAAUGCGCCGAUGGAGUGCCUCGCGGCCUAUCAGCUAGUUGGUGAGGUAACGGCUCACCAAGGCAACGAUGCGUAGCCGACCUGAGAGGGUNAUCGGCCACAUUGGAACUGAGACACGGUCCAGACUCCGUAGGAGG
rnacentral:rRNA from 1 species